AGCCUCAUCGUCUAGCUCGGCUUAGGACGCCGCCCCCUCAAGGCGGAGACGGGAGUUCAAAUCUCCUUGGGGCUA
rnacentral:tRNA from 1 species